rnacentral:rRNA from 1 species
UACGUAGGGGGCAAGCGUUGUCCGGAUUUAUUGGGCGUAAAGAGCGUGUAGGCGGCUAGAUAGGUCCGUUGUGAAAACUCGAGGCUCAACCUCGAGACGUCGAUGGAAACCAUCUGGCUAGAGUCCGGAAGAGGAGAGUGGAAUUCCUGGUGUAGCGGUGAAAUGCGCAGAUAUCUGGAGGAACACCGGGUGGCGAAGGCGACAUCCUGGACGGUAUUGACGCUGAGGAGCGAAAGCCAGGGGAGCAAACGGG